GAUGAACGCUAGCGGCAGGCCUAACACAUGCAAGUCGAGGGGGAGGUUACUUUCGGGUAACUGAGACCGGCGUACGGGUGCGUAACGCGUAUACAAUCUGCCUUUCACUGGGGGAUAGCCCGGAGAAAUUUGGAUUAAUACCCCAUAGUAUAGUAAUACGGCAUCGUGAUGCUAUUAAAGCUUAGGUGGUGAAAGAUGAGUAUGCGUUCUAUUAGCUAGUUGGAGAGGUAACGGCUCCCCAAGGCGAUGAUAGAUAGGGGUUCUGAGAGGGAUGUCCCCCACACUGGUACUGAGAUACGGACCAGACUCCUACGGGAGGCAGCAGUGAGGAAUAUUGGACAAUGGUCGGAAGACUGAUCCAGCCAUGCCGCGUGCAGGAUGAAGGUCUUAUGGAUUGUAAACUGCUUUUGUAAGGGAAGAAUAAGGGCUACGCGUAGUUUGAUGACGGUACCUUACGAAUAAGCAUCGGCUAACUCCGUG
rnacentral:rRNA from 1 species